AGAGGGUUCUGCCUAAGGAUAAAAGACCCCUUUCAACCUAGUUUCGCAAGACAUUUGGAUCUGGGCAUCUUAUGGGCACUCCAAUCCAGGGAGAAACCUGCUCAAGCGUUAAAGUUUGAGCAAACAAGCAAACAAGACAGCUCCUCCUCCUCUGUCAUAUUCAAAAGGAGAAGUAACUUCCGUGGUUUUAACCAAUACAAGCCCUGGUUGGCAGCAAAGGGGACAGGCUGUCCUUGAGUUCUGCAAGCUGGGAGCAGGGCAGUGGGUGACAUCUAUGUCUGCCUGUGUGCUUGUGCCAGCCGAAGCCCUUGUUUUAAUAGUUAUGUUGGCAAAAGUGCCCUUUUGCUUAUGUUGCUCAGGGGAGCUGUAGUGAGCUAUACAGGCAAAAACUUAAUUUUGCUGUUGUAAUUUAUGUCCCUCCUCGGCUGCUGUGCUGCUGUGGUCUGACCGCCUGAGCAUCACAGUUGGUCUUUGUGGCGUAUGGAAGUCACAGACUCAGAGCACCUUCAUGCAGUGAAUCACUUUAUUGCCUAUUGCUCUAGCUUUGAUACCAUUCUAGUAAAAGAUAUUUUUAGCUUCGCA
rnacentral:lncRNA from 1 species